rnacentral:rRNA from 1 species
GACGAACGCUGGCGGCGUGCUUAACACAUGCAAGUCGAACGGUGAAGGGACCGGUUUUUGCUGGUUCUGGGUGAGUGGCGAACGGGUGAGUAACACGUGAGUAACCUGCCCCCUUCUUCUGGAUAACCGCAUGAAAGUGUGGCUAAUACGGGAUAUUCUGCGCCUGCUGCAUGGUGGGUGUGGGAAAGAUAUUGUUUCGGUGGGGGAUGGGCUCGCGGCCUAUCAGCUUGUUGGUGGGGUGAUGGCCUACCAAGGCGGUGACGGGUAGCCGGCCUGAGAGGGUGGACGGUCACACUGGGACUGAGACACGGCCCAGACUCCUACGGGAGGCAGCAGUGGGGAAUAGUGCACAAUGGGCGCAAGCCUGAUGCAGCGACGCCGCGUGAGGGAUGGAGGCCUUCGGGUUGUAAACCUCUUUCGCCAGUGAAGCAGGCCUGCCCCUUUUGUGGGUGGGUUGACGGUAGCUGGAUAAGAAGCGCCGGCUAACUACGUG